UGACCUCGGAUCAGGUAGGAAUACCCGCUGAACUUAAGCAUAUCAAUAAGCGGAGGAAAAGAAACCAACAGGGAUUGCCUU
rnacentral:rRNA from 1 species